GGCCGGUUAGCUCAGUUGGUUAGAGCGUGGUGCUAAUAACGCCAAGGUCGCGGGUUCGACCCCCGCACGGUCA
rnacentral:tRNA from 1 species